rnacentral:lncRNA from 1 species
UGAAUACUUUGGCAUUUCAAUCCUUAAAAUUAAAGACUUCAAACAAAUUUAAGUGGGAUUAAAAUAUGGAUGAGAUUUUAACGCAAGAUUUCCUUUUUAAAGAUAGGAUACAACCCUGAAGUUAUCGACUAAGCCACCACAAAUAAUGUUUGUUCAUAUUUGGAAAGAUGAACAACGUUUAUGCUUUAAUAAUUAUCAGAAAUGAAACCAAAGACCCUCACAUUAUAAAUGAUGGCUGCUUUUAUCUGUAAAACAAGAACAUCUGCAUGCUAAUUUUUCAAUAACCACACACCCAUUUGCAUUAUAGCAAAAUCAUACCCAAAUUUUGACAACAAUGUUUUUGAAACAUGUUUUCUGAUACCUUAAAAAGUUCAAAUCAAAAAGGAGAAUUAUGCCAUAGCAGAGAUUAAUAACGAAACCAAUUUCAAUCAUGCCAAUAUUAUUAACCGUCAGCUUGAGAAUCCCCUGCUACUUAUGCUACGUAGUGCCUUAGUCGACCUUGCAGCUUUCAUAUACCUCUGAAUAUGGUUAACAUCGCUGCAAGAACACUGGCAACUAAUUGUUGAAAUCUCCCCUUUAGAUGUCUUCCAAGGCUUGAAACACUGAUAUUCUAUGUACACAUAGUUCACCGAGGAAGAAAACUCAUCCCAGAAAUACCAUGUAGUCCAACUACGAAGAAUAGUCACAACCAUGUUAUAGAUUCACUCUCCCAAAGAUCGGCUCCAGUUGCUUCGAAGAAAUACUUCUUGGAAAAAGAAUAGGCCCUCUGCAGGAUUCAACUAAAGUUUCAUGCACUGACUGUGAAUCGUUUGGGAGCAAAUGACACUGGCCUUAGGUAGGUUUCAGACAGAGAGAUUAAAAGCGGAUGAAAAGCCAGGGCUGAAGCAGCGAUGAAAAUUACAAAUGAAGCCCAAUAAAGCCUUACGGGGGCAUUUGGUUAGAGAAAAUCUAAUAUUGUUU